UCGCAGCCUCUUAGCUCCCUGUGGAUUUAACAGGAACGUGACACACAAAAGGCAAAUGCUCUAGGAAGGAAGGAUGUUAACUCAAUAGGCUCAUCGCUUCCAAUUGAUUCCCGCCGUUCAUUUUUGAUCUUUUUGUUAGAUUUGGCCUUUAACGAGCGACGGGAUAUUUAUAGUCCGGAUCUAGCUGAUGGCUCCCAGGGCGAAAACUCUGGUUCACACUGAAGGGAAUCAGUUAAGGGGUAGACUAAAGUAGAAACACUUUGUAGUUGCUAUUUUCGGCUUCGCAAGACCAUCAUAAAUAUACCAGUUGUCAAAUCCUUUUUUUAAACUUCAUCUUCACUACUUUUGAUGACCAGAGGCUAAAUUUGCCAGCUCUUGUCAAUAAGAUCAGAAAGCGUCACCAAGAUUGCGCGCGUCUACAGCAAACUUAGCACAACACCAACACGUAACUUCAUUCACCAGUAAAUUAGGCCUGAGCAAGAUCUUAUUUAUCGCAAAUUAACGUGUUCUAAUUGAUUUAUCGAAACUACAGAGCGAAAAAAAGGCGAACAAUAAGCCCAAAUCAAUCAAUACAUACAAAUUCAUUUCAGUUCCCGAAGCGGUUGAUUGGAUUUCAACAGAACAAUAAAGCACUUAUAAUUCAAUUCUCUCUGAUGAAGUAUGCUAUGUGUCGUGCCACGCAACCUAUACAGUACAUAUGUGACUCGAAACCUUAUAAAUUAUUACUUGUCUCAAAAAUAUGUAAAAUUGCAACACUUUUUCUGGUCCUAUUAGUUCUGAGUUCGGUUGUAACUCACGGCCAAUUAACUCGUACCAACAAGCAUCAGAGUUACUACCCUCGACAGUCCAUUCGACCCUACCAUUAUUUGGGUUCACCAGGGGUCAACUACAGAAGCAGUCAUCUGUUGAGGCCACCCUACUUCAGCUGGGCUGACUUGUACAAACAGAGAAUGGCGUUGUGGCAGCAGCAGUUGAAUAGUCACGUCCCCAGUACAAACUAUGAGUCACACAGUAGACAGUUGUACAAUGGAACAUGUCAGACGAAUAUCUGUCGAACAUUUCCGGCUGGAUUCUCAAGUGCGAGGUUCUCCAAGAUACAGUGUAAAUGCCAGGAGGGUAAAAUAUGCAAAACGAUCUUCCUGUCCACGAAAAGAGAGGGACGUUGCGUGUCACCAGAUUAUAAACACCCGCAGGAAGAAAACGACACUGAGUUAUAUCCCCAUAUGUCAAGGCUGCUUGCCGGAGUACCGUGAAAACAUGCAGAGGCUGAUAUACAAAUACGAUAUGAUUAAAGAAGACCAAAAAUGCGAUUGCUAUUCGAGCACACCCCUAAAAUGGGUUAAGUUAAGUGCUUUGAAGCACAGAACAUCUGACGUGCUUCAUAACAGCAUAACUAUACUGUGGAGCCAGCAACAAAAUUGAAAGCAAUUAAUUUUCACAACAA